UACAGAGGGUGCUAGCGUUGUUCGGAAUCAUUGGGCGUAAAGGGCGUGUAGGCGGUUUGCUAAGUCAUGUGUGAAAUCCCUCGGCUCAACCGGGGAACGACGCAUGAAACUGGCAGCUAGAGUACCAAAGAGGGGGGUGGAAUUCCCGGGUGUAGCGGUGAAAUGCGUAGAUAUCGGGAGGAACACCUGUGGCGAAGGGCGGCCCCCUGGUUGGAUA
rnacentral:rRNA from 1 species